UCUUGUCUCAAAGAUUAAGCCAUGCAUGUCUAAGUAUAAGCAAUUAUACCGCGAAACUGCGAAUGGCUCAUUAUAUAAGUUAUCGUUUAUUUGAUAAUACUUUACUACUUGGAUAACCGUGGUAAUUCUAGAGCUAAUACAUGCUAAAAAUCCCGACUUCGGAAGGGUUGUAUUUAUUAGAUUAAAAACCAAUGCCCCUCGGGGCUCUCUGGUGAAUCAUGAUAACUAGUCGAAUCGACAGGCCUUGUGCCGGCGAUGGCUCAUUCAAAUUUCUUCCCUAUCAACUUUCGAUGUUUGGGUCUUGUCCAAACAUGGUGGCA
rnacentral:rRNA from 1 species